rnacentral:rRNA from 1 species
AACGAACGCUGGCGGCAGGCCUAACACAUGCCAGUCGAGCGAGAACUUCGUUUCUGGCGGCGGACGGGGGAGUCGCGCGGGGGAAUGUUCCCUUAUCUACCGAAUACCCCUGUUUCGCGGGGGGUAAUGCCGGAUACGCUCUGUUGGGAAAAGAUAUAACGGAGGAGGAUAAGCACGCGUUGGCUUAGGCUGUUGGGGGGGUAAUGGCCUAUCACGGCGAGGAUCGUUAGCUGGUUUGAGAGGCUGAGCAGCCACGCUGGGGCUGAGACGCGGCCCAGACUCUUACGCGAGGGAGCAGUGGGGGAUCUUAGACAACGGGGGCAAUCCUGAUCUAGCCAGGCCGGGUGAGUGAUGAAGGCCUUAGGGAUGUAAAGCUGUUUCAGCUGGGAAGAUAAUGACGGUACCAGCAGAAGAAGCCCCGGCUAACUCCGUG